CCCAUUCCCUCCCAAAUCACACCAGUACUGCUCCCCCAAACCCUAGAUUGACGCCGCACCAUCUCGACGGACCACCUCCCUAGCGCCGCCGCACCACCUUCUCAGCACUGCCGGACCUCCAGUUGAGACUUGGGAAAAAAGAUUAGUGAACGUGGGGGUGGGGGUGGAAAUAGAAUCGUCAGGAACAGUAAAGUGUAAAUCGGAAACGAAUUUCGAAGUUCCAACUACAACUUGUUAUGCGUUCUUUCUCAACUAAAUC